rnacentral:rRNA from 1 species
UACAGAGGGUGCGAGCGUUAAUCGGAAUUACUGGGCGUAAAGCGUGCGUAGACGGUUAUUUAAGUCAGGUGUGAAAGCCCCGGGCUCAACCUGGGAAUUGCAUUUGAGAUUGAAUAGCUAGGGUGCGGAAGAGGGAAGCGGAAUUUCCGGUGUAGCGGUGAAAUGCGUAGAUAUCGGAAGGAACACCAGUGGCGAAAGCGGCUUCCUGGUCCAGCACCGACGUUCAGGCACGAAAGCGUGGGGAGCAAACAGG